CACGUGGACAGAUUCGGCUGAGCUCUCCCUUCCGGCACACAGGAUGCUGAGAGCCACCCUGGAACCAGCUCAGUUGCACCUCACGCUGUGUGUAGCCCAGUGGAGUAGCCCAGCACUGCCUGGGCUCAGCGGAAGGCACAGCGAGUCCUCUGUUGGAGAUGCGCACACGGUGAAGAAGGAGUCUUAAUGUAUAGGAAACAAGAUUCUACAGAAUUCAUACAGUGGCCACCACACCUGACACAGCA
rnacentral:lncRNA from 1 species